CUGUGAGACAUAUCGUGAUUCGUGAGACUGUGAGAAAUUGAAUAUAUUUUAGGUUUAAGUUUUGUAAGUUUUAUUUUUGGAAUUUCGAUUAAAUAAUUAAUAGUAUACUACGUGAGUAAUGAGUUCGGUAUACUAGUGGUGCCGUGACCAGGAUUCGAGAGGAAAAAAGCGACGAAAAUCAAACACACAAAGCGGCGAAAUACGAAGUAAACACUGUUGAUUUAUCAUUAUGAGCGACGAAGAGGCGAGCGAGAUUACAAACGCAGGUGAGCAAAAACUCGAAGGAGAUAUUGAGAAAGAGAUUUCUAAGUUGAAGUAUUUCUUAGAAGAAACAAAUGAAAUUAUUCAAGCGAAAGAUUACGGUGAAAUGGAAGCUAUAAACAAUCGCGCUGGGAAAAUAAUCGUCAAAAUAUCGGAGCUAAUUUCACAAACAGAAGAGUUGAAAAUCGAUAACGGCAAAACACCGCGUUCAGUUAGACAGUGGAAAAAGGAAACAAGAGCUAAAUAUUCAGCGCUGAUCGAAGACAAAGAGAAAAUAGCACAACAACUAAAGGAAAAACAAGAAAAAGCUUAUGACGAAGCUGAAUUACGACGGCUAGAAUUGAAAGAUAAACAAUUUCAACAAGAAGAACAACGACGAGCUGAAAUUCGCGAAGCACAAGAGGAACGCGAACGACAAUUAUGGCAAGAAAGGCACGAAGCUGAAUUACGCAUGACUCAGAGAAAGAUAGAAAUAGAAAAGACCGCUCGUUCAUCUGCAGCGAAAUUACCAAAGUUAAAAAUAACACCGUUUAAUGGGACCCCCACAGAUUGGGUGCGAUUUGAGAACAUGUUUUUGACACUUGUUCACGAAAAAGCGAGUACAGCCGAAGAAAAAUACGGAUUUUUAUUGGAAAUGGUGAGCCCAAAGGUGAGGGAAAAGAUUGCUAAUUUGAAACCAGGUGAAGUCGGUUACAAGAUUGCAUGGGAG